rnacentral:rRNA from 1 species
AUUGAACGCUGGCGGCAUGCCUUACACAUGCAAGUCGAACGGUAACAGGUCUUCGGAUGCUGACGAGUGGCGAACGGGUGAGUAAUACAUCGGAACGUGCCCGAUCGUGGGGGAUAACGAAGCGAAAGCUUUGCUAAUACCGCAUAAGAUCUACGGAUGAAAGCAGGGGACCGCAAGGCCUUGCGCGAACGGAGCGGCCGAUGGCAGAUUAGGGAGUUGGUGGGAUAAAAGCUUACCAAGCCGACGAUCUGUAGCUGGUCUGAGAGGACGACCAGCCACCCGGGGACUGAGACACGGCCCAGACUCCUACGGGAGGCAGCAGUGGGGAAUUUUGGACAAUGGGCGAAAGCCUGAUCCAGCCAUGCCGCGUGCAGGAUGAAGGCCUUCGGGUUGUAAACUGCUUUUGUACGGAACGAAAAGACUCUUUCUAAUAAAGAGGGUCCAUGACGGUACCGUAAGAAUAAGCACCGGCUAACUACGUGCCAGCCGCCGCAGUAA